GAGCUCGUAGGCGGUUUGUCGCGUCUGCUGUGAAAUCCCGAGGCUCAACCUCGGGUCUGCAGUGGGUACGGGCAGACUAGAGUGCGGUAGGGGAGAUUGGAAUUCCUGGUGUAGCGGUGGAAUGCGCAGAUAUCAGGAGGAACACCGAUGGCGAAGGCAGAUCUCUGGGCCGCUACUGACGCUGAGGAGCGAAAGGGUGGGGAGCAAACAGGCUUAGAUACCCUGGUAGUCCACCCCGUAAACGUUGGGCGCUAGAUGUGGGGACCAUUCCACGGUUUCCGUGUCGUAGCUAACGCAUUAAGCGCCCCGCCUGGGGAGUACGGCCGCAAGGCUAAAACUCAAAGGAAUUGACGGGGGCCCGCACAAGCGGCGGAGCAUGCGGAUUAAUUCGAUGCAACGCGAAGAACCUUACCAAGGCUUGACAUAUACGAGAACGGGCCAGAAAUGGUCAACUCUUUGGACACUCGUAAACAGGUGGUGCAUGGUUGUCGUCAGCUCGUGUCGUGAGAUGUUGGGUUAAGUCCCGCAACGAGCGCAACCCUCGUUCUAUGUUGCCAGCACGUUAUGGUGGGAACUCAUGGGAUACUGCCGGGGUCAACUCGGAGGAAGGUGGGGACGACGUCAAAUCAUCAUGCCCCUUAUGUCUUGGGCUUCACGCAUGCUACAAUGGCCAGUACAAAGGGCUGCAAUACCGUAAGGUGGAGCGAAUCCCAAAAAGCUGGUCCCAGUUCGGAUUGAGGUCUGCAACUCGACCUCAUGAAGUCGGAGUCGCUAGUAAUCGCAGAUCAGCAACGCUGCGGUGAAUACGUUCCCGGGCCUUGUACACACCGCCCGUCAAGUCAUGAAAGUCGGUAACACCCGAAGCCAGUGGCCUAACCGCAAGGAUGGAGCUGUCUAAAGUGGGAUCGGUAAUUAGGACGAAGUCGUA
rnacentral:rRNA from 1 species